GAAAUGCGAUAAGUAGUGUGAAUUGCAGAAUUCAGUGAAUCAUCGAAUCUUUGAACGCACAUUGCGCCCCUUGGUAUUCCAUGGGGCAUGCCCGUUCGAGCGUCAUUUGUACCCUCAAGCUCUGCUUGGUGUUGGGUGUUUGUCCCGUCUCCGCGCGUGGACUCGCCCCAAAGUGAUUGGCAGCCGGCGUACUGGUCCCGGAGCGCAGCACAUGUCGCGCAAACGAGUGCCUUGGUACGGCGGCGUCCAUAAGCCCCUCUCUCACGCUCUUGACCUCGGAUCAGGUAGGGAUACCCGCUGAACUUAAGC
rnacentral:misc_RNA from 1 species